rnacentral:rRNA from 1 species
UACCAGACUCCUACGGGAGGCAGCAGUGGGGAAUAUUGGGCAAUGGGCGCAAGCCUGACCCAGCAAUGCCGCGUGAAGGAAGAAGGCUUUCGGGUUGUAAACUUCUUUGACAGGGGAAGAGCAGAAGACGGUACCCUGAAAACAAGCCACGGCUAACUCCGUGCCAGCAGCCGCGGUAAUACGGAGGAUGCGAGCGUUAUCCGGAUUUAUUGGGUUUAAAGGGUGCGUAGGCGGAAUGCCAAGUCGGCGGUAAAAUCGCGGGGCUCAACCUCGUUCCGCCGUUGAAACUGGCGUUCUUGAGUGGGCGAGAAGUAUGCGGAAUGCGUGGUGUAGCGGUGAAAUGCAUAGAUAUCACGCAGAACUCCGAUUGCGAAGGCAGCAUACCGGCGCCCAACUGACGCUGAAGCACGAAAGCGUGGGUAUCGAACAGGAUUAGAUACCCGCGUAA